rnacentral:rRNA from 1 species
GAGUUUGAUCAUGGCUCAGGAUGAACGCCGACAGAAUGCUUAACACAUGCAAGUCUACUUGAUCCUUCGGGUGAAGGUGGCGGACGGGUGAGUAACGCGUAAAGAACUUGCCUUACAGACUGGGACAACAUUUGGAAACGAAUGCUAAUACCGGAUAUUAUGAUUGGGUCGCAUGAUCUGAUUAUGAAAGCUAUAUGCGCUGUGAGAGAGCUUUGCGUCCCAUUAGUUAGUUGGUGAGGUAACGGCUCACCAAGACGAUGAUGGGUAGCCGGCCUGAGAGGGUGAACGGCCACAAGGGGACUGAGACACGGCCCUUACUCCUACGGGAGGCAGCAGUGGGGAAUAUUGGACAAUGGACCAAAAGUCUGAUCCAGCAAUUCUGUGUGCACGAUGAAGUUUUUCGGAAUGUAAAGUGCUUUCAGUUGGGAAGAAGUCAGUGACGGUACCAACAGAAGAAGCGACGGCUAAAUACGUGCCAGCAGCCGCGGUAAUACGUAUGUCGCAAGCGUUAUCCGGAUUUAUUGGGCGUAAAGCGCGUCUAGGCGGCUUAGUAAGUCUGAUGUGAAAAUGCGGGGCUCAACCCCGUAUUGCGUUGGAAACUGCUAAACUAGAGUACUGGAGAGGUAGGCGGAACUACAAGUGUAGAGGUGAAAUUCGUAGAUAUUUGUAGGAAUGCCGAUGGGGAAGCCAGCCUACUGGACAGAUACUGACGCUAAAGCGCGAAAGCGUGGGUAGCAAACAGGAUUAGAUACCCUGGUAGUCCACGCCGUAAACGAUGAUUACUAGGUGUUGGGGGUCGAACCUCAGCGCCCAAGCUAACGCGAUAAGUAAUCCGCCUGGGGAGUACGUACGCAAGUAUG